UACGAAGAGGGCUAGCGUUGCUCGGAAUUACUGGGCGUAAAGCGCACGUAGGCGGCUCUUUAAGUCGGGGGUGAAAUCCUGGAGCUCAACUCCAGAACUGCCUUCGAUACUGAAGAGCUCGAGUCCGGGAGAGGUAAGUGGAACUGCGAGUGUAGAGGUGAAAUUCGUAGAUAUUCGCAAGAACACCAGUGGCGAAGGCGGCUCACUGGCCCGGUACUGACGCUGAGGUGCGAAAGCGUGGGGAGCAAACAGG
rnacentral:rRNA from 1 species